rnacentral:rRNA from 1 species
UACGGAGGGUGCAAGCGUUAUCCGGAUUCACUGGGUUUAAAGGGUGCGUAGGUGGGCCUGUAAGUCAGCGGUGAAAUCUCCGGGCUUAACCCGGAAACUGCCAUUGAUACUAUAGGUCUUGAAUUAUCUGGAGGUAAGCGGAAUAUGUCAUGUAGCGGUGAAAUGCUUAGAUAUGACAUAGAACACCAAUUGCGAAGGCAGCUUACUACGGAUAUAUUGACACUGAGGCACGAAAGCGUGGGGAU